rnacentral:hammerhead_ribozyme from 1 species
CCAAGCUGACGAGUCUUAAAUAGGACGGAACGCUCGUCCUGUAU